rnacentral:misc_RNA from 1 species
AAGAGGAUUACAGUAGGAAUCAUGGUCUUUCAGAAGAAGAAGGCUGAGGUGUGCAUCCGUACCUCCCAGUUCAAGGUGAACAAGCUGCUCAACCGCAAGCAGUUCAUCGUGGAGGUAAACCACCCGCACUGGUGCGGUACCGUGCCGACGCAGCUGAUCCGCAAGAAGCUGGCCACGCUGUACAAGGUUCCGGAUGCGAGCCAGGUGUCCCUCUUCGGCUUCAAGACGAAGUUCGGUGGCGGCAAGACCACCGGCUUCGGUCUGAUCUACGACGACCUCGCGUCCCUGAAGCGCUUCGAGCCCAACUACCGCAAGACCCGCAUGGGUUUCGGCAAGGCUCGCCUGCCGGCCCGCAAGUCGGUGAAGGAGCGCCGCAACCGCAACAAGAAGCUGCGCGGCAAGGCGAAGGGCAAGCAGGUGGCCAAGAAGAAGUAAGGCUCCGUGCCGCAGCUGCACACACUUUGCAUCUCGCCUCUACCCUCUCCCUGACCCUUCUCUCUUGUGCCUGCUUCUUCCACACGCACACGCGCGCAGCCUGCCAGUCACUCCAGUUUCUCUGGGUGCCCUGGUGGCCCUGCCUUGCCUGUAUAUCGCUAGGUGAUGGCGAGUUUUCCAAAAGGCAGUGGGUGGGGUGGGGUGGGGCGGAAUGGAAUUGGUAGCGGAGGAAGGGGGUCCGUUAGGAGGUGCGGGUGUCUGCUAUGCCAGCAGCAGCCACAGUAGUCUUGGCAGGCACUGAAGUUCCUUUCUCUUUGAUUUCUCCUCCUCUCCUGUUCUUUCUGGUUUUCUUUUGGUCUCUCCAUGUUAUUUGACCCCCCAAAACAGCAGACAGGCACACGGAUGCCCCACACGUCGCCUGGGAGACGUGGCAUCUGGAGGCACCAACACGCCAGCAGCUGCCGCUCCCGACGAGAGCGAGCCGAGAAAAAGAGUCCAGUUGGAGGGUGAGGGGCAUGGUGGUGUGCAACGCGCUCUCGGGGUGCCGUUGCGGAGGAGACAGUGCAGCAGCUCACCCCCCCCGCACGCACGUAUGCCGUGCGUCGGUGCACGUGCUGCAGGCCGAUGUGCGCUCGCCCUUCAUGUACAACGCCUGCCACCUCUUCGUCUUUUUUCGUGCUACUGUCCAGAGCACACACAUAUGUACCUCCACGUGCCAGCGAGCACAAGCUCGUGCAGCAUCACUGCACAGCUGCAAUCACAAGCCUCCUCGUCUCUGCACCCCUCCCCUCCCCCCUUCCACCGCCACCUUGCAG